rnacentral:rRNA from 1 species
UCAGGAUUAACGCUGGCGGCGUGCCUAACACAUGCAAGUCGAACGAAAUAUCUUCGGAUAUUAGUGGCGAACGGGUGAGUAAUGUACAGGUAAUGUACCUCCGUACUGCGAAUAACAAGCUGAAAAGUUUGCUAAUACGGAAUAGUUUCAUCGAGGGGCAUCCUUUGAUGAAUAAAGAUUUAUCGUGCGGAGAUCAGCCUGUAUCCUAUUAGUUAGUUGGUGGGGUAAUGGCCUACCAAGACGACGAUGGGUAACUGGUCUGAGAGGAUGAGCAGUCACAUUGGAACUGAGAUACGGUCCAAACUCCUACGGGAGGCAGCAGUGAGGAAUUUUGCGCAAUGGGGGGAACCCUGACGCAGCCAACGCCGCGUGAGUGAUGACGGCCUUCGGGUUGUAAAGCUCUGUCGUGUAUGACGAGUAGGGACGGUAAUACACAAGGAAGCCUCGGCUAACUACGUGCCAGCAGCCGC